CGUCUCGCUUCCUAUCAGGCAGGGAGACCCGGGGACAUGUGAUCGCACCUAUCCUGGCUACAGUGAAGCAUGCACGUGUGCCUUCCUCUCUCUGUUUGGGGGAAGGAUUCCAACACUCAUGACUUUGUGCUGAACAUCACAGGACUUUUCCCUCCGUGAUGCCCUCAAAACGACCCUGAAAUAGCCCAAUACCUAGGACAAAGCUCCCUUAGGCCUCUUAGGAGGUCUAAGAGCCCCAACCUGGGGGGUCUUUCUGUCCGAUUUGGGGGGACUUUCAAGCACCAUGAGGAUGAAGAAAGGCAGUCUGGCCACAGGAAAGAGCAUCUUAGCUGAAACUUCUUGGGAAUGCAAGCUUUCCUCUGGUCUUCCAUCUAAGAGAAAGAAUGAAUUGAGGGUUCUUGCUGCUUCCUGGUCUAGGAGAGGGUUAAUGCUUAUCACUCUAUCCCUCU